CCUACGGGUGGCAGCAGUAGGGAAUUUUGCGCAAUGGGCGAAAGCCUGACGCAGCAACACCGCGUGAAUGUUAAACCCUUCGGGGUGUAAAGUUCUGUCAAUAGGGACGAAUUUUGACUGUACCUAUAAAGUAAGCACCGGCGAACCCCGGGCCAGCAGCCGCGGGAAUACGGGGGGUGAAAGGGUUGUCUGGACUGAUUGGUGGUAACGCGUGCGUAGGUGGCAAGGUAAGUCUGAUGUGAAAGCCGGGGGCUCAACUCUGGUUCGGCAUUGGAUACUCUCUGGCUAGAAUGUUGUAGAGGUAGAGAGAAUUCCUGGUGUAGCGGUGAAAUGCGUAGAGAUCAGGAGGAACAUCGGUGGCGAAAGCGCUUUACUGGACCAUUAUUGACGCUGAGGAACGAAAGCCAGGGGAGCAAAUGGGAUUAGAUACACGAGUAGUC
rnacentral:rRNA from 1 species